UGGGGAAUAUUGGACAAUGGGCGAAAGCCUGAUCCAGCCAUGCCGCGUGUGUGAAGAAGGUCUUCGGAUUGUAAAGCACUUUAAGUUGGGAGGAAGGGCAUUAACCUAAUACGUUAGUGUUUUGACGUUACCGACAGAAUAAGCACCGGCUAACUCUGUGCCAGCAGCCGCGGUAAUACAGAGGGUGCAAGCGUUAAUAGGAAUUACUGGGCGUAAAGCGCGCGUAGGUGGUUUGUUAAGUUGGAUGUGAAAUCCCCGGGCUCAACCUGGGAACUGCAUUCAAAACUGACUGACUAGAGUAUGGUAGAGGGUGGUGGAAUUUCCUGUGUAGCGGUGAAAUGCGUAGAUAUAGGAAGGAACAGCAGUGGCGAAGGCGACCACCUGGACUAAUACUGACACUGAGGUGCGAAAGCGUGGGGAGCAAACA
rnacentral:rRNA from 1 species